rnacentral:lncRNA from 1 species
GUUUCAAAAUGUUUGUUCUCUCCUCUAUUCUCAAUCUAUUGUAAAAUGUCAUCUUCUACAUCAAAGAUCUACUUUUUUUUCAAGUCUUCACCUUCAUCGCAAACCCUAAUCACAAUCUAGGGCUUAAACAAGUUUUCCCACAAAUAUGGUAAGAACCGACCCCUUUAGAAUCGUUUCUUUCUUCCAAUUUCUUGAAUAUUCAGCUCCAAUAUAGGGAUUUAUGAUGUUUGACGGUGGUUGUUAUUUCCUGGUCUGUGAACGGCGAAAGACCUGAUUUCCUGGUCUGUGAACGGCGGCAUCUAAAACCAUAAGAGUCAUAUAAAUGGAGAAUAAAGUAAACAAGUGUAUGAAGCUGCUAAGUCAUCAUUUGCAGCGUUUAAAGCGAGCGAAUAGGUAGACCGAGAUUUCAGAAAGCUUCUGUUCUUGGUAGAAAGAGGAAACCGAUUGGGAGUAAUUUCUCAUUAGGUGAACCAAGUGCUGCUGACUAACCACUGCUUGUGCGGUACACAGGCUUCAGGUCAUGUGAAUAUGCAUUGUUGGGAACUUGUAACUUUACAUGCAUUCAAACUUCUCAAGAUAGGGUUGACUGAAGCUCUAGCCAUAUGAUUUGAAAAGUAAAAGUAAAAAAAAUUAUGUGUGAUGAGCGUGUACGGUUAAAGAGAGGAAAAUUCAAUAAACAUAUAUUUUUUUUUUGGCGAAGGCGUGGACCGAGUGUAGCAACCCGAGGUUUGAUUUGAGUUUUUCAAGAUGAUUUAUUUUUAGACUUUCAAUACAGUGCGCUGUUAGAAAGACUUGAUAAUUAUGUAAUACAGUGCAAUAGUUUUGGUUGUUAUUUAUUUACUUAUUU